rnacentral:rRNA from 1 species
AAUCAACGCUGGCGGCGUGCCUCAGACAUGCAAGUCGAACGCGAAAGGCUCCUUCGGGGGCCGAGUAGAGUGGCGCACGGGUGAGUAACACGUAGGUAAUUUGCCUUUGGGUGGGGAAUAACUCAGGGAAACUUGAGCUAAUACCGCAUAAUGCAGCGGCUCGACAUCGAGACAGUUGUUAAAGCGGGGGAUCGCAAGACCUCGCGCCUGAAGAGAAGCCUGCGGCAGAUUAGCUAGUUGGUAGGGUAAUGGCCUACCAAGGCGACGAUCUGUAACCGGCCUGAGAGGGCGGUCGGUCACACUGACACUGACAUACGGGUCAGACUCCUACGGGAGGCAGCAGUCGGG